UGCCUAGCAACUCCUAUCCCUACCUUCUCGUGGUACUGGUCGAGGUACGAGUAACCUCAGGGAAGGUCGGGUAACCAACCCCGGUGGGAACUCUGGUCGUAUGCUGACAGAUAAGG
rnacentral:ribozyme from 1 species